UGGGGCGUAGCCAAGCGGUUAAGGCACCGGGUUUUGAUCCCGGCAUUCGGAGGUUCGAUCCCUCCCGCCCCAGCCA
rnacentral:tRNA from 2 species